rnacentral:rRNA from 1 species
GACGAACGCUGGCGGCGUGCUUAAUACAUGCAAGUCAACGACUUUUAGAGUAGCAAUAUUCUAAAGGAAGUGGCGCACGGGUGAGUAACACGUAGGUAAUCUGCCUUCAGGACUGACACAACUCGUCGAAAGACGGGCUAAUAUCAGAUAAUGCAGCGGCUCCGCAUGGAGACAGUUGUUAAAGUACAAGCGCCUGAAGAUGAGCCUGCGGUCCAUUAGCUAGUUGGUAGAGUAACAGCCUACCAAGGCAACGAUGGAUAGCUGGGUCUGAGAGGAUGAUCAGCCACACUGGAACUGAGACACGGUCCAGACUCCUACGGGAGGCAGCAGUAAGGAAUAUUGCU